CCUUGACGGUAUCUAACCAGAAAGCCACGGCUAACUACGUGCCAGCAGCCGCGGUAAUACGUAGGUGGCAAGCGUUGUCCGGAUUUAUUGGGCGUAAAGCGAGCGCAGGCGGUUUCUUAAGUCUGAUGUGAAAGCCCCCGGCUCAACCGGGGAGGGUCAUUGGAAACUGGGAGACUUGAGUGCAGAAGAGGAGAGUGGAAUUCCAUGUGUAGCGGUGAAAUGCGUAGAUAUAUGGAGGAACACCAGUGGCGAAGGCGGCUCUCUGGUCUGUAACUGACGCUGAGGCUCGAAAGCGUGGGGAGCAAACAGGAUUAGAUACCCUGGUAGUCCACGCCGUAAACGAUGAGUGCUAAGUGUUGGAGGGUUUCCGCCCUUCAGUGCUGCAGCUAACGCAUUAAGCACUCCGCCUGGGGAGUACGACCGCAAGGUUGAAACUCAAAGGAAUUGACGGGGGCCCGCACAAGCGGUGGAGCAUGUGGUUUAAUUCGAAGC
rnacentral:rRNA from 2 species